ACUCCUACGGGAGGCAGCAGUAGGGAAUCUUCCACAAUGGGCGCAAGCCUGAUGGAGCAACACCGCGUGAGUGAAGAAGGGUUCGGCUCGUAAAGCUCUGUUGUUAAAGAAGAACACGUAUGAGAGUAACUGUUCAUACGUUGACGGUAUUAACCAGAAAGUCACGGCUAACUACGUGCCAGCAGCCGCGGUAAUACGUAGGUGGCAAGCGUUAUCCGGAUUUAUUGGGCGUAAAGAGAGUGCAGGCGGUUUUCUAAGUCUGAUGUGAAAGCCUUCGGCUUAACCGGAGAAGUGCAUCGGAAACUGGAUAACUUGAGUGCAGAAGAGGGUAGUGGAACUCCAUGUGUAGCGGUGGAAUGCGUAGAUAUAUGGAAGAACACCAGUGGCGAAGGCGGCUACCUGGUCUGCAACUGACGCUGAGACUCGAAAGCAUGGGUAGCGAACAGGAUUA
rnacentral:rRNA from 1 species